rnacentral:other from 1 species
UUUACCCUGGGGUGUUUGUCAGCAGGAUUCAAGUCCCUGAGCCGAUAAGCAAUACCUAAGGGUUAGUACUUGAUAGCUAUUGAGCAAGCUCGGCCCGUACCGAGAAGCCUACGGUUAUCAUUGCUGAUCCGCCUUGAACCAGCUGGUUCAAGGGCCAUUAAUCCUCAACGGCACUCUGGGGUACUC